rfam:Triticum aestivum genome assembly, contig: Triticum_aestivum_CS42_TGACv1_scaffold_578561_7BL
UAAGUACUUCCUCCGUCCGGAAAUACUUGUCAUCAAAAUGGAUAAAAGGGGAUGUAUCUAGAACUAAUAUACGUCUAGAUGACAAGUAUUUUCGGAUGGAGGGAGUAAUUA